rnacentral:rRNA from 1 species
CCUACGGGUGGCAGCAGUGGGGAAUAUUGCACAAUGGGGGAAACUCUGAUGCAGCCACGCCGCGUGAGUGAAGAUGUAUUUCGGUAUGUAAAGCUCUAUCAGCAGGGAAGUUAAUGACUGUACCUGACUAAGAAGCUCCGACCAACGACGUGCCAGCAGCCGCGGUACGUCGCAGGGGGCAAGCGUUAUCCGGAUUUACUGGGUGUAAAGGGUGUGUAGGUGGUAGGGCAAGUCAGAUGUGAAAGCCCGGGGCUCAAGCCCUGUACUGCAGUUGAAACUGUCCAGCUGGAGUGCAGGAGAGGUAGGCGGAAUGCGUGGUGUAGCGGUGAAAUGCGUAGAUAUCACGAAGAACACCGAUUGCGAAGGCAGCUUACGGGACUGCAACUGACACUGAGGCACGAAAGCGUGGGGAGCAAACAGGAUUAGAUACCCCUGUAGUC